rnacentral:rRNA from 1 species
UACAUGGGGUGCAAACGUUGCUCGGAAUUAUUGGGCGUAAAGCGCACGUAGGCGGUUUGUUAAGUCGGAUGUGAAAUCCCUCGGCUCAACUGAGGAAGUGCAUCCGAAACUGGCAGGCUUGAGUACUAAAGAGGGUCGCGGAAUUCCCGGUGUAGAGGUGAAAUUCGUAGAUAUCGGGAGGAACACCGGUGGCGAAGGCGGCGACCUGGGUAGAUACUGACGCUGAGGUGCGAAAGCGUGGGGAGCAAACAGG